GCCGAGGUAGCUCAGUGGUAGAGCGGCUGUAUCGUAAACAGUAGGUCGGGAGUUCAAAUCUCCCCCUCGGCU
rnacentral:tRNA from 1 species